rnacentral:rRNA from 1 species
UACGAAGGGGGCUAGCGUUGUUCGGAAUUACUGGGCGUAAAGCGCACGUAGGCGGAUCCUUAAGUCAGGGGUGAAAUCCCGAGGCUCAACCUCGGAACUGCCUGUCAGACUGGAAGGCUUGAGACCGGGAGAGGUGAGUGGAAUUCCCAGUGUAGCGGUGAAAUGCGUAGAUAUCAGGAGGAACACCGGUGGCGAAGGCGGGUCUCUGGGCAGUAACUGACGCUGAGGAGCGAAAGCGUGGGGAGCGAACAGG